UGCUCAGAUUGAACGCUGGCGGCAGGCUUAACACAUGCAAGUCGAGCGGGGGAGAUUGCUUCGGUAAUUGACCUAGCGGCGGACGGGUGAGUAAUACUUAGGAAUCUGCCUAUUAAUGGGGGACAACAUCUCGAAAGGGAUGCUAAUACCGCAUACGCCCUACGGGGGAAAGCAGGGGAUCACUUGUGACCUUGCGUUAAUAGAUGAGCCUAAGUCGGAUUAGCUAGUUGGUGGGGUAAAGGCCUACCAAGGCGACGAUCUGUAGCGGGUCUGAGAGGAUGAUCCGCCACACUGGGACUGAGACACGGCCCAGACUCCUACGGGAGGCAGCAGUGGGGAAUAUUGGACAAUGGGGGGAACCCUGAUCCAGCCAUGCCGCGUGUGUGAAGAAGGCCUUAUGGUUGUAAAGCACUUUAAGCGAGGAGGAGGCUCUUUUGGUUAAUACCCAAGAUGAGUGGACGUUACUCGCAGAAUAAGCACCGGCUAACUCUGUGCCAGCAGCCGCGGUAAUACAGAGGGUGCGAGCGUUAAUCGGAUUUACUGGGCGUAAAGCGUGCGUAGGCGGCUUUUUAAGUCGGAUGUGAAAUCCCCGAGCUUAACUUGGGAAUUGCAUUCGAUACUGGGAAGCUAGAGUAUGGGAGAGGAUGGUAGAAUUCCAGGUGUAGCGGUGAAAUGCGUAGAGAUCUGGAGGAAUACCGAUGGCGAAGGCAGCCAUCUGGCCUAAUACUGACGCUGAGGUACGAAAGCAUGGGGAGCAAACAGGAUUAGAUACCCUGGUAGUCCAUGCCGUAAACGAUGUCUACUAGCCGUUGGGGUCUUUGAGACUUUAGUGGCGCAGCUAACGCGAUAAGUAGACCGCCUGGGGAGUACGUCGC
rnacentral:rRNA from 1 species